rnacentral:rRNA from 1 species
UACGAAGGGGGCUAGCGUUGUUCGGAAUUACUGGGCGUAAAGCGUGCGCAGGCGGCUAUCCAAGUCAGUGGUGAAAGCCCGGAGCUCAACUCCGGAAUUGCCAUUGGAACUGUUUAGCUCGAGUACGAGAGAGGUGAGUGGAAUUCCCAGUGUAGAGGUGAAAUUCGUAGAUAUUGGGAAGAACACCGGUGGCGAAGGCGGCUCACUGGCUCGUAACUGACGCUCAUGCACGACAGCGUGGGGAUCAAACAGG